GGAGCACCUGCUGGACGUGGACGGCCCCGCCGACGGCGCCGGGGCGGCGCAUCCCAAGAUCCGGGUGCGCGGGCUGCGUCGGCUGGCGGACGCGACGGGCGACGAGAUCCUGCGGGGCGUCGACCUGGACGUGCCGCGCGGCGUGGUGAUGGGCGUCAUCGGGCCCAGCGGCAGCGGCAAGUCCACGCUGCUCCGCGCGCUCAACCGCCUCUGGGAGCCCGCCCCCGGCGCCGUCCUUCUCGACGGCGCCGACAUCCGCGGCAUCGACGUCCUAGCGCUCCGGCGCAGGGUCGGCAUGCUCUUCCAGCUCCCCGCCAUGUUCGACGGUACGUCGCGCGUGCGCCCGUUUUCCGAAGCUCAUCAUAAAAAUUUCCUAGAGCAGUUUGUUUUCCUAGAGUAGUUCAUCUCGUAGGGAAUCAACCUGUCUCGUUGAUUGAUGCCCGAUUUGAUUUGCCCGAAUAUGAUAAGCGCAUGUAGCUGUUGGCAAAUGCGGUUUGACAUUUGCACUGUGCAUAGUUGGCAGCGAGUAGACAGUUAGUGGCCAACUCUGAUAAGCUAUCCAGCUGACCUUUCUAGGUUGAACAGGUCAAGAGCUCGAGGCUAGAUCUGCCACUGGUACGGACAAAUCCACUCUUGUUCAUACCCAGGUCCAAAUAUAUAUUAUCCAAUCCUCAUCCUCCUUAUUCUCACCCAUAUCCAAUGGAUAAUUAAUUUUGUACGAGAUACUUUGUAUAUCCAAUGGAUAAAUUGUGCCCUCCCAUUUCUAAUGGAUAAAUAAUUUUCUACCUAUACCCUUUCCAUUUGAAAUGGAUCUAAAUUUGAGUUUGAGUAUGAAUUAUGGAUAUCCAGCAACAGAUCUCGGGCCCAGUGAUAAACAAGGUUUCCACUCGGGUAGGUGGGCAUGAUCCAAGUGAUGGUAAAUUGGUAAUUGUGGGCACUCUGACUCUGAACACGCCACGAUUAGUAUGUUUCUAACGCAAUGGUUCUCCGUCUCAACGUCGUGAGAUGCAUUUAUGACUGACCAGCAUCUUGAGCACAUCAUGGAUGAAGCAUGGUUGCACAGCUGACAAGGAUGGCAACUGCUAAGCUUAAUUAAAGAAAGCUCUAACCAUUGACAAAUUUGAGUGGGAUCCUGCUUCCCGGAUGCCAGCUAAAAGAUACUAAAAGAUAGUUGAAGAGGGUAUUCCUACCCUCCUUCCUACUUUAAAAACCUCCUGAGAAAGGUGGAGAAGCAUUUUGACCAGUUUAGCUAGGUUCAACCAGCUAAAAGAAUUCACCAACUAGCAGUUUGGACAGAGUAAAGCCAUAAUUUAGAGCUGCCAUAGAUCUGGGCAAGUGUAUUGCUUGGAUGCAUGUAAGGUAGGUUUGUCUGCUUCGAAUAUAUAAUGCCAUUUUUUAGUGUACUUGUAAUUUCUCUUGCAUAGUGGCAUUGCUUCCUAGUUUAUUCUGCGCAGUACCUGCACGACGUCAGCGUGUUUUUCCUCUGCUUCAUGAAUUAUGAUGCUUCAUCCUGAAUGAAAAGUCAAAUUGCAAACUGUUUCUUGAGUGAAUCAUCUGGGUUUAAUCUUGAGAAAUGAAGCAAACGGGCAAAUCACAGUAAGAUCACCCAACUUUAUCUUCAGUAACUCGUAGGAAGGCAUUAGGAAGAAGACACAGACACUAAGCUCAGCCCAGCCAUGAUAGAAAAUCCGAAACAAAACCUCCAACGAUUGCUCUGAUUUGUGUUCGUGCCUUGGAUAUCAGGAACCGUGGCGGACAACGUGCGCUACGGGCCGCAGCUGCGCGGCAAGAAGCUCACGGAAGCCGAAGUGAAGAAUCUGCUGAGCAUGGCCGAUCUGGACCCUGCUCUGUCCUCCAAGCCGGCCUCCGAGCUGUCCGUCGGCCAGGCGCAGCGCGUCGCCUUGGCCCGGACCCUCGCCAACGACCCCGAGGCAUGUCCGCAUGUGAGCAUGUGCACCCUCACAUGCUUCCUCUUCCUCGCUCCCAUUAUUCUCCAUGGCGGCCUCGCUGAUGAGACCGUGGCGACUUCCAUUGCUGCAGGUGCUGCUGCUGGACGAGCCGACGAGCGCGCUGGACCCCAUCUCCACGCAGAACAUCGAGGAGGCGAUCGUGCGGCUGAAGAAGGCGAGGGGGCUCACCACGGUGCUCGUCUCCCACAGCGUGAAGCAGAUCCAGCGCAUCGCCGACCUGGUGUGCCUCGUCGUCUCCGGCGAGAUCGUCGAGGUGCUCGCGCCGUCCGAGCUGUCCGGCGCCAAGCACCCCAUGGCCAGGCGCUUCUUGGAGCUCAGCAACUGAUGGCCCGGCCGUCGAGUCCAUUUGCUCCGAGUAAGAGGAAGGAGUACAUGUGAACUCGGAUUUGUAACUGUAAUCCUGAUCUGCAAUGUUUUCAAGUGUACACUCUCUGAAAGUAAACAUGUGUACAAGAAGUACCUUUCUUCGAUAGCUAAGAUAGCUAAGAGUAAGAGCAAAAGUAAGUGAAUUGACGGUCAUCCUAAUAGAAAGAGUCAACAGUUACUCGUCUUGCGACAUGUCAAGUAACAACUCCCACACCUAGAGAUGAAGGUUUGUUGCAAUUCAACAUAACAGAGACAAAUCCGGUUCCGGUUGUAGGUGUUUCACAACAUGUCUAAGAUCGAGCAACAUCAACCGUACAAAUCGCACAUCACCACAUGAACCACAAAGAGCAAUUUGAAGCAUUACACAACUUCAACAAGUUCAAUUAGAUUACAAGUUCAUGACAUACAUGCUUCAAAUCUGAAAUUUAAAUGGAUGAGCUCCAAAAUACAAGCCUUGGACUCAUGACAACAACAACAUGAGAUUAAAUAUUAUGAUUCAAACUUUCCCAACAUCUAACUCAUGAAAAGAGCACCACUACGCAGCGGAUAUGAUAGAAUAACACAAAAGAAACGAUGGUGUCAUUGCCCAAGAACACUACCGAAGCAACAAUGACCACUCUAGUCACUCAUCACUCACCCUUGGAUCAGCGGGGUAAAAGUGACCAAACACGGCCUCCGGUUCACUUGCAACUUUGGUGAGCGAUAGCAACACGAGUAAAAAAGGUACUUGCAAGUCUUACACAAAUAUAUAACAAGGAGCAUGCACAGGGAUAAACAAAAAGUAAGGCUUUAAGGUUAAGUAAAUUUUGCAAAAGUCUAGCUCAUCAUAUCCUUAAUUUUUGACCAUAAGCAUAUGAAAAACGCAAAUUUUAUUAAUCUUGCCCAAAACCCACUUCAAAUUUUAGUUAAAACAACUAUAUCAACAUGGUAACAUAGAGCAUAUUCAUGUGAACAAGUAACAUAAGCAUCCAAUAACUUUACGAUGAAUUCAUUGGACUUGAGCUUGCUCAUAACCAAGAGCGCAGCAAAACGAAUUGAUUUAUCCUUGCAAGGAUGUAUUCUUUACCCACACGACUUGAGGACCUUGCGGCUCGCAUACCCAAUCAAUGGUGCACAAGGGGUUACUCAUGCCAACCCUUUUCAAACUGCCUCGAAAGUUGAGUGUAACAUUCCUAACUUGUGUGGAGGACGACUUAGAUCCACCGGGGACACCCCUAGACUCCCUCUACAUAGUCCGAAGACCUCACAUCUAGGUCCAUGCCUCAAAGAACGAGUCAAGUGAGGUAUUAAGCUUAAUACUUCCCAUUAGGGGAUGUGUGGUAGCACAAAAAAGGUGCUCAAACCUACAUCAACAACAGACGGUCCUUAAUCGACUCAAGUGGUCUAUAACCAAGACUCCAUUCUCGUAGCCUUACACACCACUCAACUAUUGUAUCCAUUUAACCAUCAUGCUCAAUUACUUAACAAUAUUAAAGAUCAAAACGGUGUUGAUUAACCUAUAACCAUUCCCUAACCAAAGUUACCAUUCUAUGUCUAAAUAUGGUUAAACAAUUAACAAGAUUAAUUUAACAUUACCCAUACUAUUUGAAUGACAAGGAAAAUGGUAUAAAACAAGGAUGGCAAUAAUAUCAGACAUAAGAUCUAAUAAUGCAAUAAGAUAACCCACAUGCAUCCCAUAGCUAUACAUAGUAACAAUUUAACUUUGAAAAGUAGGAUAAGUAUGCAUAGCUACUUGCCUUGAUUUUCCUCGGGCUCAACAACCACUUCUACGUCGGCCUCAGCUUCGGGCUCAACCAACUCAUUCUCUGGCAAGUCCUCUCUAAAAUGAAUGAAAUGCAUGCAUACAUUAGAGAUGAUGCCAUGAGUGCAAAUGCUCGUGAAAUGCAUGGAGAAAUAAUAGAAACAACAAAGAAUGAAUUAUCAAUAGAACAAUCUAACUAAAAACAGUAACAAUCAUAUAUGAGAGAUUAUUUUACAUGAUAAGUCAAAAGCAACCAUGAAAUUGCAAGAUUAAAAUCAUUUGUUGAGCAAAAAUUAUGAAAUAAAUUACACUGACAUAAUACAACAAUAAAAAAUUAUGAGAAUUAGAUUCACAUAAAAAUUAAUUUUCAAUACGGAGAUAUAUAAUAAACAAGACAAACUACCAUUAAGCACAUUAAAUCAUAAAAGGAAUGGAAAUCAUACAGAAAAAUAUGAAUAUCAUUUUUCCUAGGAUCUACACAGAAAACAUGGCUUACCAAAAGUGGUUUCAACAUUUUAUCAUUUUUAUGCUAAUUACCAUGCUAAUAAAAAUAUUUUGAAACAGCAUGAAAACUAUAUAUUCCAGUUAUACAAGUUGUAGAUUUGGAGCAUAAAUGAUAAGUAGAAGCUAAAAGAAUUGGUUUCAAAAAUUUUGGAGCAUCACAUGAUUUAUAAGGCAUUUAAUAUGUCUAGAACAAAAUAAAUUAUAGCACCAUAUAUACAACAGGAAAAUGCACAUAAUGAUUUUUGAAUAAAACUAUAUCAUAACAAGAACACAACAAAAUAAGUUUCACAUUUUUAGCCUUUUUUAACAUAUUUCUAUGUGUUUCCAAAGUUUGCGGCCAUUUAAGUCUAGGAAACCAAGGAAAAUCGAGGUUGUUUGCAUCUAGGCCCCUAAAUCUAUUGUACUCUUGCACUUGGGUCCCUGAAUCUUCCCCGUACCCCUCUUCUCUCUCUUCUCUCAGCCACAACACACCAACGCACAUAGGCACGAGGCGGCGGCGCACGGCCGAUCGUGGCCUUGGUCGACGACGGGGGACGGCACGAUGCCACAUGGAGCAGCAUGGCGCGGCGGAGGAUGGCAGGCUGCGCCCCAAGGCUGCAGAGCUCACCAGGCAGCGGCGCAGCGACAAAGAGGAGGCAGCUGCGUCAGAGUUUCAUAGGUGGCGGACGAGCUCGUCGGUGAGCACCCUGCACAAGCGAGGAGGGCAGUCGGUGAGCAACAGAAUGGGUUCGCGGCGUUGUGGGGGAGCUGUAGUUGCGAGGAAUUGGCAUGAGGCUUACCGACGACAACGGAAUCUAUCGGCGAUGGUGGCUGCGUGGGAGAAGGUGGCGGCGGCAAUGGUGGAGGAGGGGAUUAGGGUUCGGAGGAGGUCGGCUGGGUGCUUAAAAAGGCGAGGAACGGCGAGGGUAGGGGAGGCAUUUCGCGUGGGUGAAGCCAUGGUGGCCAGUCCGGCGACAGUCAGCCUGCGAGCACCGCUGGCGCUGCACAACCAGCGAACGAGGAGGCGCGGGAGAGGAGGAAGGAGCCGCUGAUGAGUGGGUCCAGCGAAUUCAAACUAUUCAACCUUCCCCACUUCAAACAACCUAGCUACCGGCGCUCAAAAAUCCUCAAAAAUACUCAUUUGAAAGAUAAAAUCACAAAUAAGACAACGCCACAAGAAUCACCUUCAUAGCUGCUCAGAUUUUCACACAAUUGACAAAGGAAAACAGCUAAAACUGAAACUUAAGUGAAUUUUUAACAAAAGCAAACAUCACUGAAAAAUUAAAAAUUAAGUAAAAAUACUUUAAAUUCAUCACAUUGCACCUAGUAUUUAAAUAAAAUAAUAGGGAGCACAUUUGUACAACAGAAAUUUGAGUUGCUUCACAAAGUUAGAUUUAAACAAUAAACAACAAUUAUAUGAACUUAACAAAUGCAUGGCAUGAUGCUCAAUUAUGCCCAAAUGAUACUCUGAUUACAUGCUAUUGAUGUUUUGGACAUUUGGGUCGUGACAAUGCAAGACGAACAUAUUCUCUAGGAUUUGCUUCAUCUUUUGAAUCUCCAAAACUCUAGUGUUUAUAUCUCCCUUCAAGGCGCCAAGCUCUCUAGUGAUGGCUGCUGUCUUAUUGAUUAGUAGCUGGGCCGCACCCAGGAAAUCAACAAUAAAAGGCUUGGCCAUUUGAGCAGUUGGGCCGCACGCUGCGGGCUACUGAUUUGUAGCACAUCAAGCAUGCGACUUGACGUCUCUUUAUACUAGUAUAUGUAAUCUAUAGCUGGGAUUGGAGAGCAUCUCCAGCGUAUUGCUUGCAUUCCAUUACCAAAAUACUUUCUUUCUCCCUUUCCAAUAGUUACUUUUGUAUUUUUAGUGAUCACCGUUGUAGCAUACUACCAAAAAUCAUCUCCGAUACCUUGAGGAUUUAUUUGUUUUUCUUUUUUCCCCACUUCUUCUUCAUCUCCCGCCUCCCCUUCUUUCUUCACUGCGCAACCUACCCCCCUUGCCACCUCGCGACGGUGGCAGCUGCUCAAAUUCGCCGCCUCUCUCAGCCUCCCCCGCGACAGCGGCGCCCUCUCCCGAUGCAGCGGCCGCUCAGAUCCGCCACCCCUCCCGACUUCACCUGCGAUAGCCACCGGUUUGCCCCCUCACCCGUGGUGCUCCACACACGCCCUCCCACAGCUCGCCUGCGACGACCCCCGAGCUCCGCACCGCCCGCACCUAGGGAUGCGGCUGCCUUCUCACCUCUGUGUUCUCCUCCCCGUGGCGAGCUUGGUGCGCUAGGAGGAAGGACGCCGCAUGGCUUGUUCACGAGCUCUACAACCAACCAUGGGACGCCCACGGUGGAGGUAGGCAGCUCGUGAAUACCCUCCCUCUCCGUUUCUCAUCUAGGUAGGCUCGGGGUGUGCGGCGGUGUUCUUUGGCAGCGGCCUCCGUGGCUGAGUGACGGCGCUAGGCGGUGGACAUGUCUGCGCACACGAAAAUAACUGUAGAUAGGGGGAGAGUGCUGGAGAAGGCUGCUUUUUCCCCUACAUCAAGGGGGGGGGGGGGAGUUGAGUUUUUGGCAAUUGCUGAAAUUUUUUAGUAUUGGGGAUCUGGUUGGUAGUCUGCUGGAGUUCUCUUCCAUCUUCAAAAUCUCCUAAAAGAUAGUUUUUUAGUAUUAGGGAUGAAUAUGAGCAAUCUGCUGGAGAUGCUAUGGGAAAAUACCCAGCGUGCAUGUGCAUCACGAUUUUGUCCACACAGAGAAUUAACAAGGGCUAAGCCAGUCAUCGCCAAUGCAUCAAGAGCUGACAAAGUCUACUGCAGAAGUUGGUCUUUUACUGAACUUUUGGAGCCCAAAUAUCAGCGAGGCCCUAUAAAAGGGGGCAAGAUGGCCACACCUAUAGGACGUUCCGAAGCAGAUAUCCUGCACAAUCCGUUUGCUUUUCCUAUCACUCUCCUCGCGGGUCUCCAAUGGACUCAGCUUCACGUCAGCAACAAUCCCAGACGAACCAUGGCGUUGAGCUUGUCAUCGCACCAACGUUUCGCUUGUCCGACGAUGAGGAAGACGAAGAAGCCAGGGAGCUCCUGCUGGACGUGGGCGGGCUACUCGCCGGCGGCGGAGCUGCUGGGGCGGCGGCGCCGGCAGCGGCUGGUCCCCCCAAGAUACGGGUGCGCGAGCUGAGGCGGCAGGCGGCGGGCGGCCAGGAGAUCCUGCGCGGCGUCGACCUGGACGUGCCGCGCGGCGUGGUGAUGGGCGUCAUCGGGCCCAGCGGCAGCGGCAAGUCCACGCUGCUCCGCGCGCUCAACCGCCUCUGGGAGCCCGC
rnacentral:lncRNA from 1 species